rnacentral:lncRNA from 1 species
GCGCGUGUGUGCGUGUGCGCGCGUCUACAGGUAGCAGCGGCGGCGGGGACCCGAGCAGGGGACGCUUCGGCAGCUACCUCCCGCCUGUGAUUUUUCGGAGGCGAUUGCUCACUUAGCUGACGGAUCUGUAGCCCCGGGAGAUCUCGUCCUCUCCAUUUCCACGCUGUUUAGGCGUCUUCCGUUUCAAGUGUGUGUUUGGGGUAUUUUUUUUUUUCUUUUAGAUGUUUUUCGUCUCCCACUAAAUCUUCUCGGGAAUACUGCAUAUCGAAGCAGGUGGUUCCUGGUACGAAAUCUUUGGAUACAUUUUAUUUGCCAAGUUUUGCUUCUCCCUAUCCCCUCCCGCUUUGAGAGGCAUCCUUGGUGCUUUUCUUUCGGAUUUACAUGCAGAAAACGUAUCUAUGUUUAUAUGCCGACCGGAUAAUUUAUAAGUACGUACAUAUACGCGUGCCCAAGCACCUGGCUUUCGUCUCCUUCCCGACCAGGAGGAAUGUUUUGGAGCCCAUGGAUAAGGAGCACAGUAUUAACAUUCUUCUAAGGCUGUUUUUCAAAAAGGGGAGGGAGCGUGAAGAAUUGUUUAACAUUCGGCCGCCGUUUGGCUGCACACUAAGCACCACGAAGUAUUUAUGGUUGCAGAUCAGGUGCAAACGGGGCUUACAGAGAAAGGUAAGGGAGCUUCCUGCGUCCACCCGUCCCGACGUUUAUCUUAAUUCCCGGGAUUACCGAAAACUUCCUUCCUACUCCUUGCCUGACCCUGGCCUCCCCCAGCUCCCCCACCCCUGCCCGCGGUCUCUCCGGUUCGCUUAACCCUUGUCCAGUUCCUUUGGGCUGAGAAUGGUAGUGGUGGCGUCGACAGUACUGGAGGUGGAAUCGUCUGUUUGAGUUUAAAUGCGUCUCUCUUUUUUUCCCCUUUGAGUAACUGAGUUUUCCAAUCCCCCUUUUUAGCAGUCUCAAGAAAUGUUAUUUUGUCCUUAAAAAAAAAACAACCCGUUACGUAGAUAACUGCUUUAACCAUGUAUUGGUGCCAACUCCUCACCGGUGUCCUCUGGAAAAAUAAUAAAAGCAAUAAAAAUGAUGAACUUUAAUGAGCUGGGUGGUUUCUUCAGUACUGAGGGACAUGGAACCUCUCAAAUGAUUCUUUUCAUUAAAAAAAAAGAAAAAAAGAAAAAAGAAAAAAGAAAGAAAAACCGGGGAAAAAAACCCAAAUCAAUACCACGGGAGGAGGCCACAGUGAAGGAAAUUCGGCUUCCAUUUCUGCAUAAAGCAAUUCAUUUCACUUGGAGGGUAAUUCGCCAGAGUUUCGAGAGAUGAAGCGAAGUCUCCCGUGGGAGAACCUACAGCACUUAAUUCCUGCUCAAAUGCAUCCUUUUCCUCUACGACGAGUGAGUCCUUGUUUAUCUCCCCAUCCAGGGGCACAUUUUCUGAGCUCAUCUCUUCGGAGAGAGGUGCGAUCUUCCUCUCGGGGUUUCUUCUCUCCACCCAGCCUCCCUCCUUCCCCGCUGGGCUCCUCCAGCCCCGGCAGUUUGUAAACUGCCCGCUGUGCCACCCCUCCCGGUAGGCGUUCUCGCUGCUGCUCUCCACUCCGACCCCCGCUGUCCUUUCUUCAUUGGCGCUUUCGGAGCAGAUGCAUCUUUUUUCCUUGGGCUCCCUCUCCCGCCUCCUCCCCUCCCCACACGCCCCGCGGCUCCCCACCUGCCCUGCUCCCCUGGCUGCUGCCCACCCUCAAUUCCCGUCCCAGCCUGCAGGCCGGCGGGGGGCGCAGAGUCUGGGGGCCCAGGACCCCGCCGCCGGAGCCGAGCCGGUGCCCGGAGACCCGGCGGGAAGGGCGAGCCGGAGCGGGGCUCGAGGCCGGAGCCCGUCGGAGCCAGGGAGACCCGGAGAGCGGAGGGAAAGAGUGGAGUGCCAGGCGCGCGCUGGCCGGGCCCGGCGGACGGGUGCAGUGGUUUCCAAAUCCUUAGAGCGGCGCCCCGUCACUGUCACUGCAGCUUUUCACCCUAGAGCUGUGCCCUGGGACCGGAGACCCCGAGCUGGGAGAUCGUCUGAGAGGUAUCCUAGAAAGAAAGAACAGAUUACUAGCGUGCGGGGAGGGCUUCCUGGCAAAACGCGAGGCUGAGCAGAUGGAGGAACAAUGCCGCCUCCAGAAGCGAAGCCUCGCCUGAGCCCUUGAGAGCGCGGAGCAGCCGCGGCCAGCCUCCUGCUCUCUCCCCAGGCCCUCCGGCUCCAUCUCGGGUGGCUUCCGCCUCGUAGUUUGACAGAAAUAAGAAAGUUGCUCUUCUUCUCCACAACGUCUCCUGCGAGGUGCUUUUCAGAUCCGCGUGGUUCCAGUCAAGAUGUCACUUUUAGAUCCCCCGCGUUGAGCAACUAAUACAUUAUGCAGUAUUGGGCAAUAAACUCUCCCGGGAAGAGAAGGUAGUCCAAACAUUUAAACUGCUCUCCACUGACUCCUGUCUGCCUCAGGACAAUGCCUUAACUGUGUACAUCUUGAACCAGGAGAGAUCCCGGUAGAUGACCAAUCAGACGUUGGAGGGGUGAGUAGAGAAACCUCUCAAUUAGCUAACAGUGACACAGGACUUGUCUGAGAAAGGGAAUUUAUAAGAAAAGUUAUAAAUUUAGUUUUAGCAAAAUUUGAUGUAAAGGCUACAUUUUUAAUGAAAAUAUCAAAUGGGUGGUUAGAAAUGUCUGACAAGCUUAGGGAAAGAGUAAAUCUGAAUUCAUAGAAAUGAGUGCUGUAGAUUAGAAGUGAGAGAUGAAGCCAUCCUUUUAAAAAAGGAAAUCACAAAGAAAUAAGCUCAGAGAUGAAUGCUAAUCUUUGUAUGAAUCCUAUUAUUAGACUGAGAGACAAAGAAAAGAGUGACCUUAAAAUGGUAAGGAAAACUACAGUUGAACAUGCAAUAAAAAUUCCUCCAAGGUCUGGUAAAAAAGAAGUUUGAAGGAAAAAUGAUUCUAUUAAUAUUGGGAAAUAGUCCAGAAAAGGUUGAAAGAUAAAGAUAAAGUGAUGAUACAUAGGUAACCUGAGAAAAAAGCUUCAUCUUGGGGUUGCCUAUUUAAAAUGUGACAUUUAUUCACUGCACGAUUAUGUUGUACAGGUACUGUUGUGGGCACUUGUUAUGUAUCACUAAACAAUUUAAAACAAGAUAUCUGCACUGUGAAGCCUGAUAGUUUUUGAAUAUUUGACAACCUCCUGCUCUGGCCUAAUUAAAUACUAUUAGAAAAAACAAACUGCUAUGUUAUCUGCAGUAAUGUGCUGGUAAUCUCUCUGAUUAGGAAAAAAUAAAAACAUAAAAGGCUUAAUCUAAAGUUUGAGAACAUCCUAGAUGUAAGUAUUUGCACCAUAUCCCAUUCCUACCUGCUAUCAUGUUUCCUCUAAGACAGAUUUGGGAAAAAGUUGCAGAAAAGGACUGAGAUACAGUUUAAGUCAGCCAUGGUAAGACACUUGUACUGGAAUAGCUUGUUUUAUAUUUAGGUCUCCUAACAUAAUUCUGACUAUAAUUAAUUUAUCUGUAAAAUGAAGAAAUACUUUUUCAAUUUUUAUUAGAAAGGAAUUUAUUUUUAAUAGGCUUGGUGGGACCUAAACACAAGAAAUGCAAGUUAUCAAAUUCAUCAUCAUACAUCUUAGAUAUUUGUAUGUGAAAAUGAUAUUAAAUUUAGGGCGGGGAUUUAGCUCAGUGGUUCCACUGCCUGCCUUGUAGCGCAAGGUCCCAAGUUCGAUUCCUGGUACCAAAAAAAUAAAAAGAUAUUAAAUUUAGAAUUGAAAAACCAUAGACAAUUAAAAAAUAAGGUCAUAGAUGGAAGUCAACUUUUAAAAAUCCUGUAAUAACACCUUACUUGUGUAACAGCAUCAGGGAAUGAGCCAUUCCCCACAAGUGAAUUUUCCUAAAAAAAUCCACAAGUUUAAGCAUGAACAAUUUUUCAUUUUAAUAAGCUUAUACAGAAACUGUUCAUAAAUGUAUUAGAAUAUUUCUUGCUUGCUUUAUGCUUAUCACAUGAAUUCUGACUUUAAAAAUAAUUUACAAGCAUUUUAUAUAACAUUUUGAAAAUACAGACAGAAAGGAGCAAGCACAAAACAAUGUAUUUCUAAUCUCAUUAUCUAGAAAUAAUGUUGGCUUCUUCCUUCCUUUCUUUCUUGCCUUUUUUCUUUCUUUCUCCUUUCCUUCCAUCCUUCCUUCUUUAUCUGCCAAUAUAUAUUUUUUUCAUUAAGUUUCUUGGUACAUUUUAGGUAUACAAUUAGUUACAUUCAUCAUUGGGAACUUGUACCUUUACAUGAUGUAUCUUGGUUCUUAUGUUUUCCGCAUUACCCUGCUGCCAAUAUAUUUUUAAAAACUGA